rnacentral:RNase_P_RNA from 1 species
GUGAGCUGGGGGGUGGCUGUCGGUCAUAUGGCUGAGGAAACUCCAUCCACCGAGUAGGGCUGCGACGCUGUGAGGCGUAAGGGGAGACCCUUGGCAAUGGACAGAAACGAUACCUUCCGUGGCAUGCGAUGAUUCAUUGAAUGAUGAGGUCGCUACGGAGAUGGGUGAGACGACUAACCCGCAGGGUGCAAGGGCGAAUAGGCGCCGAUACCCUCCUACAGGGGGCGCGGGUAGCCCGCAUAGCUGAAUGCCGCCGAAGUACAGGAGAUGGGUUACACCCAGCACAC